rnacentral:rRNA from 1 species
CCUACGGGUGGCUGCAGUGGGGAAUUUUCCGCAAUGGGCGAAAGCCUGACGGAGCAAUACCGCGUGCGGGAGGAAGGCUUUUGGGUCGUAAACCGCUUUUGUGAGGGAAGAAGAUCUGACGGUACCUCACGAAUCAGCAUCGGCUAACUCCGUGCCAGCAGCCGCGGUAAUACGGAGGAUGCAAGCGUUAUCCGGAAUUAUUGGGCGUAAAGCGUCCGCAGGUGGUUAUUCAAGUCUGCUGUCAAAGAGCGAGGCUUAACUUCGUAAGGGCAGUG